UAUAAGUUCUUUGGAACAGGACAUCAUAGAGGGUGAGAAUCCCGUAUAUGAUCCAAAUGUCUGUCUUUUGUGAUACGCUUUUCAAAAAGUCGGUUUGUUUGGGAAUGCAAACCAAAAUGGAUAGUAAAUACCAUUUAAAACUAAAUACUAGCAAUAGACCGAUAGCAAACAAGUACCGUGAGGGAAAGAUGAAAAGAACUUUGAGAGUUAAACAGUACGUGAAAUUGUCAAAAGGGAAACGCUUGAAACCUAAUAAUAGUAGUUGACCUAGACAGACUGUCCCAGCGAACAGUGCAUCCCAGAUAGUGGUACAACGAGGCGCUCGAUGUUUCCAGACAGUGGUUGAGCGAGGAACUUGGGAUGCACUUUGGAGGAACAUUUCUUUUUUUGUUUACAGUCAGAGAAGCUAAAAACAAAUUCACAAGAAUUGCUAGCAAAAACUGCGUUCAAAGGCUGCGCUGCGCUGCGUCGUUACGUUGCUUUUUUCCCUGCUACAGUUGGUCAGUCUGUAGAAACAAACGACCCCUCCAAACAGAAAGAGUCCCAUCAACAGCCAAUAAUACACUAUAUUCGAGCAGCCAGUCUUCACAUUGUUUUUGCAACCAUAGAGUCCAAUUAGUUUACACUUGUUGGAUUGUCCAAAACUAUGGGUGUUUGCUAGCAAUGUCACACGCUUGGCUUGUUGUUCCGAGGCCUUUUACACACUAUUGGAACUAGAACAACCAUAUCAAGAAAUUACCACACGUCCUCUAUUCUGGGCGUCGUGAUUUCUUGUAGCAAUUGGUAUCCUGGAUGUCCCGAGACAUUUGCUAGUGUCUCCUCGUAUGAAGCUCAUAUACGGAACUAUCAUCAGAAAAACAUCACGCCUUGAAAUCGGCGUUCCGCUAUCAGUUGACCCAUCUACUCGAGGAAAUUUGAUUUCGUCCUGGAUCCAUAUAUUUGAGCGCCUUGGUGUAAGCCAAGAAGAGUUUGGAUAUUUUAAAUGUCCUAAUUGUAGUACCCAAACUAAGCAUGUCGACGAAUAUUUGUCGCCACGUCGUACGCCAAGCAGAAUGCUUGGAUUAUUUAAAUAGGUUGCACGAUGAUAAAUUCUAAGAGUAAACCUAGGAUCUUCAUCAUUAUCGACAGUUGAUCAUCUAACCCCAAAGUCGUACCGAAAAACGACAUUGCAUUCAUCAUUCUGCGAGAGAUAUCAUUGAUAUUGCCCCUUUUCCAGUUUUCAAAGCAUCUUUGACUCGAAGCUUGGCUCUACAUCCAAUGGGGUU
rnacentral:ncRNA from 1 species